GGGGCUGAUUCUGGAUUCGACGGGAUUUGCGAAACCCAAGGUGCAUGCCGAGGGGCGGUUGGCCUCGUAAAAAGCCGCAAAAAAAUAGUCGCAAACGACGAAACCUACGCUUUAGCAGCUUAAUAACCUGCUUAGAGCCCUCUCUCCCUAGCCUCCGCUCUUAGGACGGGGAUCAAGAGAGGUCAAACCCAAAAGAGAUCGCGUGGAUGCCCUGCCUGGGGUUGAAGCGUUAAAACGAAUCAGGCUAGUCUGGUAGUGGCGUGUCCGUCCGCAGGUGCCAGGCGAAUGUAAAGACUGACUAAGCAUGUAGUACCGAG
rnacentral:tmRNA from 5 species